GGUGAAGGCGGAGCCUACGGGCCAGAAGUGACCAUAGCAGGGGCCAAGAAAAGCCUCUAAGUGAUGAAGAUAAGCUGCCCGUACCGCAAACCGACACAGGUAGGCAGGUAGAGAAUACCAAGGCGCACGAGAGAACCCUCGUUAAGGAACUAGGCAAAAUAGCCGCGUAACUUCGGGAGAAGCGGCGCCCGGGAGACCGGGUCGCAGAGAAAUGGCCCUGCCGACUGUUUAACAAAAACACAGGUCUCUGCCAAAGCGAAAGCUGACGUAUAGGGGCUGACGCCUGCCCGGUGCCGGAAGGUUAAGGGGAUGGGUUAGUCUUAGGACGAAGCUCAGAACCGAAGCCCCGGUGAACGGCGGCCGUAACUAUAACGGUCCUAAGGUAGCGAAAUUCCUUGUCGGGUAAGUUCCGACCCGCACGAAAGGCGUAACGAGUGGGGCACUGUCUCAACGAGGGACUCGGCGAAAUUGAAGUUUGCGUAAAGAUGCGCAAGACCCGCAGCAGGACAAAAAGACCCCGUGGAGCUUUACUGCAGCUUGCCAUAGCGUGAAAGCUGUGUUUGUGUAGGAUAGCUGGGAGACGAAGAAGCCUGGACGUCAGUCUGGGUGGAGUCACACUUGGAAUACCAGCCUGACGCAGAUUUGACCCUAACCGCUGACCGUAAUCCGGCAGUGGGACGGUGGCAGGUGGGCGGUUUGGCUGGGGCGGUCGCCUGCGAAAGAGUAACGGAGGCGCCCAAAGGUUCCCUCAGGCUGAAUGGAAACCAGCCGUUGAGUGUAAAGGCAGAAGGGAGCUUGACUGCAAGGCCGACGAGCCGCGCAGAGACGAAAGUCGGGCUUAGUGAUCCUAUGGCACCGAGUGGAAGGGCCAUAGCUUACCGGAUAAAAGCUACCCCGGGGAUAACAGGCUAGUCUGGUCCAAGAGUUCAUAUCGACGACCAGGCUCGGCACCUCGAUGUCGGCUCAUCACAUCCUGGGGCUGGAUCAGGUCCCAAGGGUUGGGCUGUUCGCCCAUUAAAGUGGUACGUGAGCUGGGUUCAGACCGUCGUGAGACAGGUCGGUCUCUAUCCGCUGUGGGUGUAAGAGAUUUGAGGGGAGCUGCUCCUAGUACGAGAGGACCGGAGUGGACUGACCGCUGGUGUGCCAGUUGUACCGCCAGGUGCAGUGCUGGGUAGCUACGUCGGGAAGGGAUAACCGCUGAAAGCAUCUAAGUGGGAAGCCCCCCCCAAAACUAGAUCUCUAUGAGACUGCUGGGAGACUACCAGCUAGAUAGGCGGGAAGUGGAGGCGUGGCAACACGUGGAGCUGACCCGUACUAACGGUCGAUAGC
rnacentral:rRNA from 1 species